rnacentral:rRNA from 1 species
CCUACGGGUGGCUGCAGUGGGGAAUAUUGCACAAUGGGCGCAAGCCUGAUGCAGCCAUGCCGCGUGUGUGAAGAAGGCCUUCGGGUUGUAAAGCACUUUCAGCGGGGAGGAAGGCGGUGAGGUUAAUAACCUCAUCGAUUGACGUUACCCGCAGAAGAAGCCCCGGCUAACUCCGUGCCAGCAGCCGCGGUAAUACGGAGGGUGCAAGCGUUAAUCGGAAUUACUGGGCGUAAAGCGCACGCAGGCGGUCUGUCAAGUCGGAUGUGAAAUCCCCGGGCUCAACCUGGGAACUGCAUUCGAAACUGGCAGGCUAGAGUCUUGUAGAGGGGGGUAGAAUUCCAGGUGUAGCGGUGAAAUGCGUAGAGAUCUGGAGGAAUACCGGUGGCGAAGGCGGCCCCCUGGGCAAAGACUGACGCUCAGGUGCGAAAGCGUGGGGAGCAAACAGGAUUAGAUACCCUUGUAGUC